rnacentral:rRNA from 1 species
UACCAGCACCCCGAGUGGUCGGGACGAUUAUUGGGCAUAAAGCAUCCGUAGCCGGUUCUGCAAGUCUUCCGUUAAAUCCACCUGCUUAACAGAUGGGCCGCGGAAGAUACUAUAGAGCUAGGAGGCGGGAGAGGCAAGCGGUACUCGAUGGGUAGGGGUAAAAUCCGUUGAUCCAUUGAAGACCACCAGUGGCGAAGGCGGCUUGCCAGAACGCGCUCGACGGUGAGGGAUGAAAGCUGGGGGAGCAAACCGG